UAAGGAAUAUUGCUCAAUGGGAGAAAUCCUGUAGCAGCAACGCCGCGUGGAGGAUGAAGGGUCUAUGACUUGUAAACUCCUGUAAAGAAGGAAAAAAUUCCCAUUUGAUGGGAGAUGAUGGUACUUCUGGAGUAAGCCCCGGCUAACUACGUGCCAGCAGCCGCGGUAAUACGUAGGGGGCAAGCGUUGUCCGGAUUUACUGGGUGUAAAGGGUGCUCAGGCGGAUUUGUAAGUCAGAGGUGAAAUCUUACAGCUUAACUGUGAAACUGCCUUUGAUACUGCAAGCCUAGAGUAUGGAAGAGAGUGAUGGAAUAUCUGGUGUAGCAGUGAAAUGCGUAGAUAUCAGAUAGAACACCAAUGGCGAAGGCAGUCACUUGGUCCAUUACUGACGCUAAAGCACGAAAGCGUGGGUAGCAAACA
rnacentral:rRNA from 1 species